AUUGAACGCUGGCGGCAUGCCUAACACAUGCAAGUCGAGCGGAGCGGCGGACGGGUGAGUAAUGUAUGGGGAUCUGCCUGAUGGCGGGGGAUAACUACUGGAAACGGUAGCUAAUACCGCAUACCAUUAGAUGAACCUAUAUGGGAUUAGCUAGUGGGUGAGGUAACGGCUCACCUAGGCGACGAUCCCUAGCUGGUCUGAGAGGAUGAUCAGCCACACUGGGACUGAGACACGGCCCAGACUCCUACGGGAGGCAGCAGUGGGGAAUAUUGGACAAUGGGCGAAAGCCUGAUCCAGCCAUGCCGCGUGUGUGAAGAAGGUCUUCGGAUUGUAAAGCACUUUAAGUUGGGAGGCGUUACCAACAGAAUAAGCACCGGCUAACUUCGUGCCAGCAGCCGCGGUAAUUC
rnacentral:rRNA from 1 species